rnacentral:rRNA from 1 species
AUGAGGAAUCUCUUUUUUCAAAUGGAGAGAGGAUCAGAGGAAGAGACGACGGUGGAAUAUCAGAUCACGUUUUUUUUUCUGCAAGGAAAGCAGAUAACGUUUUCAAGUGGGAGUCAAGAUCGUAUCUCUUGCCGCUUCCAUGUUGACAACCGACGAAGGCGCGCUAGGAGGCAUGAGGGGUUCCCUAUCUCAAGAAAACAAGGAUCGUUAUCCACGCAGCAGAAAAAAAUAUUGCGACGUUUUCUUGUCCAAACAGCACUGCUUCGGCACCGCUCGCACUGCACGUGCACCUACCGGCCGGAUCACCGCCAUGCCGCGCUGUCCGUCCCCGUCGGUGACGCUGGAGGCCACGCGGAGGCGUGCAGCCAGCACUCGCGUCACGUACGCAAGUAG